rnacentral:misc_RNA from 1 species
GAUAAGAACGCAGCGAAAUGCGAUAAGUAGUGUGAAUUGCAGAAUUCAGUGAAUCAUCGAAUCUUUGAACGCACAUUGCGCCCCUUGGUAUCCCGAGGGGCAUGCCUGUUCGAGCGUCAUUUCACCACUCAAGCCUGGCUUGGUGUUGGGCGACGUCCCCUUUGGGGACGCGCCUCGAAACGCUCGGCGGCGUGGCACCGGCUUUAAGCGUAGCAGAAUCUUUCGCUUUGGAAGUCGGGGCCCCGUCUGCCGGAAGACCUACUCGCAAGGUUGACCUCGGAUCAGGCAGGGAUACCCGCUGAACUUAAGCAUAUCAAUAAGCGGAGGA